CGCGUAAAUUAGGCAAAUCCUGACACAGGGAGGUAGUGACGAUAAAAUAACAAUGCCGGUCCUUUCUAGGUCUGGCAAUUGGAAUGAGAGCGAUGCAAACACCCUAUCGAGGAUCAAUUGGAGGGCAAGUCUGGUGCCAGCAGCCGCGGUAAUUCCAGCUCCAAUAGCGUAUAUUAAAGUUGUUGCAGUUAAAAAGCUCGUAGUUGAAUUUCUGGUGGAGUCGGUCUGUCCUUCACUUGGUGUUGGUACGUGACUGUAUCUCUGCCCUCCUUGGUUGGAUCCAGUGCUGGCAUUUGGUUGUCGGUCUGGGGACGGCCAUCGUUUACUGUGAAGAAAUUAGAGUGUUCAAAGCAGGCUUAGGCCUUGAAUACAUUAGCAUGGAAUAAUGAAAUAGGGUUUUGGCACUAUUUCGUUGGUUUGCGCGCCGAAACAAUGAUUAAUAGGGACAGUUUGGGGAUAUUCGUAUUCAAUUGUCAGAGGUGAAAUUCUUGGAUUUCUGGAAGACGAACGACUGCGAAAGCAUUUAUCAAGGAUGUUUUCAUUAAUCAAGAACGAAAGUUAGGGGAUCGAAGAUGAUUAGAUACCAUCGUAGUCUUAACCAUAAACCAUGCCGACUAGGGAUUUGCGGUUGUUCUUGUAGACUCCGUAAGCACCUUAUGAGAAAUCAAAGUGUUUUUUCCGU
rnacentral:rRNA from 1 species